rnacentral:rRNA from 1 species
GGGUUGUGAGGUUAAGCGACUAAGCGUACACGGUGGAUGCCCUGGCAGUCAGAGGCGAUGAAGGGCGUGCUAAUCUGCGAUAAGCGCCGGUAAGGUGAUAUGAACCGUUAUAACCGGCGAUACCCGAAUGGGGAAACCCAGUGUGACUCGUCACACUAUCAUUAACUGAAUCCAUAGGUUAAUGAGGCGAACCGGGGGAACUGAAACAUCUAAGUACCCCGAGGAAAAGAAAUCAACCGAGAUUCCCCCAGUAGCGGCGAGCGAACGGGGAGGAGCCCAGAGCCUGAAUCAGCAUGUGUGUUAGUGGAAGCGUCUGGAAAGGCGCGCGAUACAGGGUGACAGCCCCGUACACAAAAGCGCAUGUGCUGUGAGCUCGAUGAGUAGGGCGGGACACGUGGUAUCCUGUCUGAAUAUGGGGGGACCAUCCUCCAAGGCUAAAUACUCCUGACUGACCGAUAGUGAACCAGUACCGUGAGGGAAAGGCGAAAAGAACCCCGGCGAGGGGAGUGAAAAAGAACCUGAAACCGUGUACGUACAAGCAGUGGGAGCACCCUUUUGGGUGUGACUGCGUACCUUUUGUAUAAUGGGUCAGCGACUUAU